GCUAGGCGUAGUGGCGGGCGCCUGUAAUCCCAGCUACUUGGGAGGCUGAGGCAGAAGAAUCGCUUGAACCUGGGAGGCAGAGGUUGCAGUGAGCUGAGAUGGCGCCACUGCACUCCAGCCCAAGUGACAGGGUGAGACUCUGUCUCAA
rfam:Homo sapiens chromosome 13, GRCh38 reference primary assembly.